GUCAGAAUGGCCGAGCGGUCUAAGGCGCCAAGGCUCAGGCCCAUUGGAGGCGUGGGUUCAAAUCCCACUUCUGACA